UUGUGGAGGAGGACGCCGAAGGUGGGGCUAAUGACUGGGGUGAAGUCGUAACAAGGUAGCCGUACCGGAAGGUGCGGCUGGAUCACCUCCUAACAGGGAGACAACAAAAUGUUUAGUAUUAUUAUUUUGUCACCUUAGGUCGAUCGGUAUCUCACGUUUUUAAUUUAUUAAGAAUUUCAUUUCCUAAGUUUUUCUAGGUCACACCCAUUAUUUUUCCUGGGCCAUUAGCUCAGGUGGUUAGAGCGCACCCCUGAUAAGGGUGAGGUCCCUGGUUCAAGUCCAGGAUGGCCCAUAUCUCUAUGUUGGGGGUAUAGCUCAGUUGGUAGAGCGCCUGCUUUGCAAGCAGGAUGUCAGCGGUUCGAGUCCGCUUACCUCCACUGAUUACCACCUCUUCCAUAAUCUAAUAAGGGAAAUUUUUUGAGUUGUGAUCAAAUUCUGAACGAAUCUAGCUUCCUAAUGAAAUCAUUAAGAUGCUGGACUCAUUGAAUUAAUUUCAUUGUUUUCAGAGAACCUUGACAACUGCAUAGAUUAUUUUUAAAGACAAUAAGCAUCUUUAAUGAUGCAGAUUUAUUAUUUGUGCGAAUGCAUUAAUAACAAUUCUAUUAAGCUGAUGCUUCAAUUUUUGAAGUUAUUGGUCAAGCUACAA
rnacentral:misc_RNA from 1 species